rnacentral:misc_RNA from 1 species
GUCCAUUACAUGCAAUGUUUCAGCUUUUGCAGGCGUUUUCAGCUGACGAUCAGUAACAAGUUCAACACCUAACAUCAGUCCUCUUCCCCUCACAUCUCCAAUAAGUUCAUAUUUGUCCUUCAAAGCAGUGAGCCUAUCUUUCAGAUAUGUGCCAACGACAAGGGCGUUCUCCUGAAGCUUUUCCUUCUCAAUCACUCUCAAAACAGCUAGUCCAGCAGCAGUACAGACAGGGUUCCCACCAAAAGUAUUGAAAUAACUGCUACGAGUCAAAACCUCUGCUAUCUCCGG